AACGCUGGGGGUUCCCAGGAGGUUGGGCGGGACCGAGAGUCCCAGUGUGGUUGCCAGGGCUCAGUCCAGUGUGGUUGGCUGGUGUCCGGGCGCCGGCACCUCCCAAGCUGAGUGUGCGCAGAUGAGACUGUUUGUUACACAGAGCAGCCCCGGGCCCACACCUGGCACCACGACAGUGUGCGGGCCAGACAGGGCCUCCUGCAGCCUCUCCAGGGCACCCACGCACAGCACACACGGCAGGCAGCCUCCUCCAACAUGAGGCAGUCUCCUCCUCCCGCUCGACACCUCCCAUGCCCCUCCCUGUAGCUGGUUGCAAAGUGCAGGAAACACCUGCCCGGUUUUCUGUCCCGUGGGUGGCUGAGACCCCGGCACUGGACCCCUGAGGCAACCUGUCUAAAUGCAGAAGACACACAGGCCCACGGUCCCGGCCACGGCCCCGAGAAACCCACUGCUUUCCCCUGGGGGCUACUGAUCGGCCGCCUCUGUGGCCAGGCACAGGCCAGGGAGUGCAGAGAGGCCCACCCCCCACUGCAAGCCUGAGAUGCGGACACCUCACAGCAGAGCAGAAAGGCCCCACUGCAGUGGGCAUCCGGGGCCAGAAUUUGGCCAUGCCCAGGGCAGGUAUGACAAAGGGGGCCACGUACACGGCGUCGUCUCUCGCUGUCCUGCUCCAUGCACACUUUGAUCAGAUCAAAUCCCAUGGGGUGGGGAAUGGGAAAACACCAGAAAUUAUUUUCUUUGCAGGUACAAAAGAGCCAUGACUUUUGUUGCCCUAAAAAUGAAUUCACAGAAUGAAGACAGUGCGGGAAACAGGUGUCCUCCGAUGCACCGGGCCACCUGCCGUCCCGAGCCCAGCCCGCUUUCUCUUCUCCGUGGCCUUCCUUGCAGCGGAGGCUUGGAGGGAGCCAGUCGCUGAGACUGCCUCUGCGCACAUCCAGCUGCCACCUCACCUUCCCCCUCGCCCUGGCUCAAUCCCAGGCCUUGGUUUGCAAAUGCUGCUCCCGUCCUCCCUCCCCCAGUCCAGAAGAUUCCAGCUGGGAAGGGAAGGGCGGAGAGGCUGGCAGUGUCCCCUCAGGGGAGUCCCACCCUCUGCAGGUGAUUCCCUGGUGGUCACGGGAGUCACUGGGUCCCUCCGUCCCUGCUCCACCCUCAGCCCCUUGAGAGGAGAGAGCCCUGGGGGUCACCAUCUCCCCCGCCCACCCGCUGUCAGCUGGGGUUCCUGCCUGCCCUUCCCAGUGGCUCCUCCAAGGAAGAGGAUGUGGCAACCUCCCCCCUGGACUUUGGGAACAGGAAGCCAAACUUGCCGUGAAAUUCUCUCCUGUCACUCAACUGCUUCCCCCUCCUGCCUGGUGUGAACCAUUCACCAAGGCCCCGCCCUCAGGAGAGAAAGCACAGAAGAUGCUGGAGUGCUAUGAAGGAGACUGGGAGAAGAUUUUGUCAGCGGCAGCAGAGAUCCACCGCAAACCAGCCUAACCAAAGGAGGAAAGAUGCUGAUUUAUAGAACCAGGACUUGCGUAACAAGUCGAGCGCCUCGGGCACAGCUGGAUCCAGGAGUUAAAUGAAGUCAUCGUGCUCCUUCCGUGGGUGCGUGUGGCUGACUCUCCCCAUUCUCAGUGGCCACACUCCACAGCGUCACCACCACACAGGCAAAUGCUGAGCCUCUGGUCCUUACGGAAACAGGGUCAGGUUCCUUUGAGCCUCUGGUCACCACAUUUUCACCACCCAUCAGUCUGUCACCUUGGUCUAUGUCUAUUUCUGCUAAAGACGCCGUAUUUAGUGUAUAGAGUUGAUUCAUUUACAUUGAACUCACGGCCAACAGCCCACACAGGCCUGAGCAACGCUUCUCCAUCGCACGUCACAGCUCCUGCACUCAGGAUCACUGGACAGAACCUCAGCUCUGUUCCUGAGGCCACUUUAAGCUGCAACAUCACCAACAAGAGCACAAAAAUGCGAACGACGUGACGCUAAAGAGAAAAGGAUUCACGUUUACUCCGAGAGCGGGCACAAGAAGGCGGUGCAGCCUCGCUCCCUCCCUGCCAGGGACGCGCAUGGCAACGCGGCUUCCCGAAGCUCUGUGCACGCCUGUGAAUGACCAGGAAAGACCCAGGCACUGACCUGGGGAUUACGAAUACGUUUUAGCAACUGGACAAUGGCCGAGGCAAUGGCGACAGCACCCACCGCCCUCCUGCCUCUCCCAGGUCUCAGUCGGUCUCCGGCACAGCAGCUGCCGUCACACUGAGGUCAGUACACUGCCCUCCGUGCCGGACCCCGCAGCGCCCCCCUCCCUCCCAGUCAAAGGCUCAGUCUUCACGGAGGUCGACCGAGGCCACGCAGCCCUCCCUGCUCCAGGCAGCUCCCACCCAGGGCCCUCCCGCGCCAACCCCUCUGCCCGGCGCUCCUCCCUCCAAGGACGACUCCCCGUGUCCUUCUCCUGACCUGGCUGCUCACGGCCACGCAGAGGACACGCUGUGCGCCCUCGAGCACUCCCAGGCCAUUCACACGCAUGUCCGUGAUGCUGUGGGCAGCGGUCACUGGGACCUGCCAACGUGGGCUCCGUGUGCUGAAGCCCCGUGGAGGUGACUGACCGGAGAGCAGGUGCCUCAGCCAAGCCGGGCUCUCUGGGACCAUCAUAGGUAAAGUUUUCCCAUCUGCAAAUGAGAAUGCAGGGAUACUGACCCCGCACCAUCCGCCGGGACUCCCCGGUGCUCCAUGGGUGGGUCUGUCUGCUGCAAGGGUGCACGACCCAGGUGGGGAAAAUGGAAGACAGCAGAGGUCACCUGGGGGCAGGAGCCCAGGACGCCCAGCCCGUGACCACACUCAGAGCUGUCUCAGCCCAUGGAUGAUGGCAGUUUCCUUGUGUGCAGACCCCGUGAGGAACCUGACUGCACGAGGCUCCUCCAGGGCUCCGUGAGGCCCUGUCUUAGGGGCCUUCACCUGCUCUCGGCUUUAAACGAACCACUGAGAAUCACCUGUAACCACCUCACAAAGAGAAUAAAUCUCCGUGCUGGCUUCAAGGCUCUGGGGCCAGGGCUGUGGGCUUUUCAAAUCCUGCAGGCUGUGACCUGGGCAUUUGCCAACUCUCACUACUGCAUAAUUUAGUCUAAUUGAUCAAUUAAAUCCAGAUAAUUUUUAAA